GGAAAAGUGGGUGAUAAAUAGCAGCUGGAAUGGGGAUCUGGACUCUAAAUACCAUGUUAUGUGUUUUGAGUGCACCAUCAACCACAGUUGCUUCCAAUUUGUCUGUUUGCCCUCUAAUUAACAAACACCUGUGUUUGGGGUAUUUAAGAACUCAGUCUUCCCAGAACAAAGGUCUAAUUCCUAGUACAAACAAUGACGAAAGGCAUUCUGGAGGCUUUAAGAAGGAGCUUUAUCUGAUGGUUGAGGGCUGUAUGUACUCCCAGGACUUGGAGGCAGAGCAGGAAGGCGGGAGGCAUAAAGCAUUUAAGGUGAAAGGACCAAAUUCCUUUUACUUCACACCUACACUGAAGACAGAGAUGUCAUUCUGCAUUUUACACCAUUGUGAGGAGAGGCAGCAUUUGGAUGCAAGACAGAGAAACCUGCCGCUAUCCAUCUGAAGCAGUCUGACAAAACUGCAAAAGCAUUUAGGUGUCUGGAAAACAGACUGUCUGGUUUGUGUUUACGUUGUAAAAAGCCCAAAAUGAGAAAUAGCAGAUGAAAGAAAAAUCUACUCUUGGUGACCUCUUCAUGUUUCCCUGCUUAUUAAGAGCCCUGCUUUUAGCUCCAGGAGAAGAGAAGGCAGCAUUUCUACAUCUGCACGCUUCAGCUCCACCGUAGAGCAGAAUGAAUGUGGAAACAAAUUAUAACAUUUCUUAGGAAAUGGAGAAAUAGGGAGUUAAAAAUAUGAUGCUUAUGUCAGAUGCCGGGAGAGGUAUAGCGUAUGUAGACGGAGCACCAGUGGUUUCUGCUAAAUCAUUUAAAGGAGUCUACAGGAAUGGGAGGUUGCAUGGGAGUAUAAAAUAUUCUUCAUCCUUUUACUGCCUGGGUGCUGGCUUGAAUUAUGCUAUGGACGACAUUUUCUUUUAAACAAGGAACUGAUAAUUACUGUGCGAUCUAGGCAGGGGAGAGAGAGAGCUUCUGCAUUCUGUGCCCCCCUUUCCAUGAGCCACACUUACACCCGCAUGUCACAGCUGCCUGCUGGGUUUCAAAUUUUGCAGCUGUUGGGCCUUGGAAAACAUGUUUUCAUCAAGCAAAAAUGUAUGGGCUUCUACGUAAAUGAGCUGCAGCUUAGAGAUAUUCAGCAGUGCUAAGGAAUUACAGUCCAACUGUUUCCAGCCCUGGGUGUGGAGGGUGAAGGGUCUGGGCUGGAUGCUGGCUCUGCCAGGUGGGACAGAUCCAUGUGCCUUGCUCAGAAGUGAAUCCCAAGUGAGGAGGACAAGAGGGCUCCUUUUCAAGCCUGAAAGUACCAUAGAGUAAUGAAGCUUCUGCCUCAUAAUGGCUGCAGCUCACCAAGCACUGUGCAGAAAUCACUUAACCUCUCUCUCCUCUCCCACACUGACAGCAUCUCUAUUUACUGUAGUGUGGGCUCCUCACUCACAUAAUUUCCAGACACAACUACAAAUCCUGUGAAUGUUAUUCAAGGAAUGACAGACUAAUCAGCUCUCUUACUUGGGCUAGACCCAUCUACAGCCAUGCAGCUGUCAUGCAACCACUCGUAAGAUGCUGGUGCAUGUGAAGCACCUGUAUUUACUUACAUCUCGCAGCCCUGUUAGGCUUGACUGUGUUGAAAUUUAGAGGUGAAAGGGGACGGUUAUCUAACAAGGUCCAGUUUAAGCUAAAUAGAUCAAAGACAAGGAGAAGAACUUCCAUAGUGCAGGAAGUAGAACUGUGAUCUUGAAAGCUGUCAUUUUGG